UGUAUAUAAUGUAUAUAUUUUUCUCUUUCAGCGAAGAAGAAGUGCAUCAUUCACCGGUGUUUCGCUAAUCCCUGCCGUGGAAAAACAUGCCCGAACUUUCCAAACGCCGAAUGCAAAUCCAAUUAUUGUAAUGGAUGUAAUUACAACUUCUUCGUGAAUGAUGAGAAAGUAAAUUGCUGAAGUUACUUCUAUGAACAAACAAGACAUAAAUAAAAGUAACUAAAAAAAAAUUCA